rnacentral:rRNA from 1 species
CAGUCGACGCUUCUUUUUCCACCGGAGCUUGCUCCACCGGAAAAAGAGGAGUGGCGAACGGGUGAGUAACACGUGGGUAACCUGCCCAUCAGAAGGGGAUAACACUUGGAAACAGGUGCUAAUACCGUAUAGCAAUCAAAACCGCAUGGUUUUGAUUUGAAAGGCGCUUUCGGGUGUCGCUGAUGGAUGGACCCGCGGUGCAUUAGCUAGUUGGUGAGGUAACGGCUCACCAAGGCCACGAUGCAUAGCCGACCUGAGAGGGUGAUCGGCCACAUUGGGACUGAGACACGGCCCAAACUCCUACGGGAGGCAGCAGUAGGGAAUCUUCGGCAAUGGACGAAAGUCUGACCGAGCAACGCCGCGUGAGUGAAGAAGGUUUUCGGAUCGUAAAACUCUGUUGUUAGAGAAGAACAAGGAUGAGAGUAACUGUUCAUCCCUUGACGGUAUCUAACCAGAAAGCCACGGCUAACUACGUGCCAGCAGCCGCGGUAAUACGUAGGUGGCAAGCGUUGUCCGGAUUUAUUGGGCGUAAAGCGAGCGCAGGCGGUUUCUUAAGUCUGAUGUGAAAGCCCCCGGCUCAACCGGGGAGGGUCAUUGGAAACUGGGAGACUUGAGUGCAGAAGAGGAGAGUGGAAUUCCAUGUGUAGCGGUGAAA